rnacentral:rRNA from 1 species
GACGAACGCUGGCGGCGUGCUUAACACAUGCAAGUCGAACGGAAAGGCCCUGCUUUUGUGGGGUGCUCGAGUGGCGAACGGGUGAGUAACACGUGAGUAACCUGCCCUUGACUUUGGGAUAACUUCAGGAAACUGGGGCUAAUACCGGAUAGGAGCUCCUGCUGCAUGGUGGGGGUUGGAAAGUUUCGGCGGUUGGGGAUGGACUCGCGGCUUAUCAGCUUGUUGGUGGGGUAGUGGCUUACCAAGGCUUUGACGGGUAGCCGGCCUGAGAGGGUGACCGGCCACAUGGGGACUGAGAGACGGCCCAGACUCCUACGGGAGGCAGCAGUGGGGAAUAUUGCACAACGGGCGGAAGUCUGAUGCAGCAACGCCGCGGGCGGGAUGACGGCCUUCGGGUUGUAAACCGCUUUCGCCUGUGACGAAGCGGGAGUGACGGUAAUGGGUAAAGAAGCACCGGCUAACUACGUG